UAGAAACACCGGUUCCAGUACAAUCACCGAAGUUAAGCAAUGUCACACCUGAUUAGUACCUCGAUGGGUGACCACUUGGGAAUAUCUGGGGCUGUAAU